rnacentral:tRNA from 1 species
CAGAUAUUAGUUUAAUUAAAAUAUUAAUUUUGGAGAUUAAUGAUGAAAGUAUUUUUAUAUCUGA